AAUUUGUGGCUGGCUCUAACCACCAGCCCCUGCUGUCAAGGAGGAGGGGCUCCCACAGGGAGCGGGAGAGAGGUUAGAGGCAGACUCUUCUCAGAGGGGCCCAGAAAAGGACUGAAAGGCAGUGGGCAGAAGUUGAGACGGGGAAAUCCUGCUGGGGCAGGGGCACAAACCCUUUGCCAGAGGCGUGAGGCAGCCCUGGGACAGGGUCUGGGACCAGGGGGUGGUUCUGCAUCUGGGGACACUGCCCUGGCCCAGAGCUUGAGCAAAGUGGUUUAAUAUUGAAGAUAGAUCUAAAAUGGAAGUUUGACUGGAAACUCCUGAGGUUCCUCCCCAAAAACCAAAAUGUAGCUCUGAUCCCACAAAAGGGAGUGGUGGAGAUAGAUUAAGUUGCAGUGAUAAGCCAAGGUGGAGACUUGUGAUACCAGGAAGGCCAUGGGCUGGGUCAGGAUAUCAGGGCUGGCUCAGGCAGGGAUGAUGUGGCAAAAUCUAGCUGUGCUCUAUAAAUCCAGCCCCAGUCUUACCAUCAUGCACAGUCUUAGUCUGAAGGACAGAGUACCCUGUUGCAAAGAAGAAGCCAUGGAGAGACGGAUCUGUGUUGCAUUCCUGGCCAUUUGUCUCCUGCUGCUGGGAGGCACUAAGGCAGCUUCCCUGAACUCACACAGCUUUAAUGGGAAUAUAGCCGGGGAUGGCAGCUUCAACGACAAUGGGAAUGGCUUCGAGUCCCCAGCCAUCUAUGAACCUCUGGGUGCCUCAGGCAACCAUGAGAGCUUCGACUGGAACAGGGUCGGCCACAACAGCUUCAAUGACAACGGGAAUGGCUUCUAGUCAUCUAU
ensembl:lncRNA